GAAACUGCGAAUGGCUCAUUAGAACGGUUAUGGUUCCUUAGAUGGUACACUCCUACUUGGAUAACUGUGGUAAUUCUAGAGCUAAUACAUGCACAUGAGCUCCGACCCAGCAAUGGGGAAGAGCGCGUUUAUCAGCUUCAAGCCAGUCGGGUCGCAAGGCCCGCUCUUUGGUGACUCUGGAUAACUGUAGCGGAUCGCAAGGCCUCGACGCCUGCGACGCAUCUAUCAAGUGUCCGCCCUAUCAAACUUUCAAUGGNAUGUGCUAUGNUUACCNUGGUGAUAACGGGGGACGGGAAAUCAGGGUUCAAUNCCGGAAAGGGANCAUGAAAAACGGCUACCACAUCCAAGGAAGGCAGCAGGCGCGCAAAUUACCCANUCUCNACCCNAGGAGGUANNGACAAAAAAUAACAAUNCGGGACUCUCUUGAGGCCCCNNANUUGAAAUGANAGCACUUCAAANCCUUGCUCNAGGAUNUAUUGAAGGGAAAGUCUGGUCGGGCGGGG
rnacentral:rRNA from 1 species